GGAAAUCUCACCAGGCCCGGACACUGGAAGGAUUGACAGAUUGAUAGCUCUUUCUUGAUUCGGUAGGUGGUGGUGCAUGGUUGUUCUUAGUUGGUUGAGUGAUUUGUCUUGUUAAUUCCGUUAACGAACGAGACCUUAACCUGCUAAAUAGUGACGCGGUUCAUCGAACCGUGGGCCACUUCUUAGAGGGACUAUCGGAUUCAAACCGAUGGAAGUGUGAGGCAAUAA
rnacentral:rRNA from 1 species